rnacentral:lncRNA from 1 species
CUACUGAAACUUAGUAUUUAUAGACUAAUUUCGUGGGUAAUGGGCUUGGAAUGAGGGAGACCCAAGUCCAAAAUAAUUUGUUAUAUUUUAUUUAUUUAUUUAUUUUAAUUAUUUAAUUAAUUAAUUAAUUAAUUAAUUAAUUAAAAAAAAAUCUCUUUUUUUUUCUUUUUUUUUUUUUAGGAAAAAUGAUGGGUAAUUUUUGGGGUAUGACAGCUGCCCCUGUUCAAUAUUCUUGAACCGAGAGAGUUAGGAUG